AGAAUGGUACAGAGUGGUCUGGAAAACCGAUCAGCUGUCAGCUGGAAAACCCAGUCAGCAGUGAACACAGUGAUGACAUCAUCAUCCCAUUCACAAGCAGAAAUUUUCCUGUUAUGUUCAUGCGAUUAGUAUUUAUUGUGUUGCUGAUUGUGGUGGCCCUGUCUGGCUUCUUUAUUUGGCACAAACACAUAAAAGCUAAUCCAGCAUCAAGACCCGACCACAGAGACACUGUUUACAUCAGAGACAGCAGGAAAGAGGACAAAGAGGAGAUAAGAGGACACAUGCUCAGCCUGAGCAACCUGUGAUGAAGUCAAAUGAAUUCUGAGUCAUUGUUUCAAUCGAUCUCUCAGUGAGACGGACUACAGGUGGGACUCACAGGGUAUGGGAAAUGAAUUUUCGGUUCUUUAUUGAAUGUAUUCAUGAAUGUAAUCCUUGUUUACAUUGUUGUGCUGCUGCAGGCGAGUAUCAUUAUCUGUCCACCAGAGGUCGCCAUACACUCAGAUGGUUCAGCUUUUACUCGUGAAUGGUCUGUGUCAAAGGAAAAUCGUGUAUAUGUGAUCAGCUAUAUGAAAUGUAUCUUUUUAUUUUAUCAUUAAGCACAUGUCUAUGUGACUUUUCACCUAGUAACUUGUGUGAUGAACUUAUGCAGAUACUAACCGCUUCCUGUUUAAAGAACAUUUAGAUGUAGAGAAGUGAAACCUCAGCUCUUUUGCUAGAACAUACAGAUGUAGAGAAAAGGGGAAAAACCUGCUGUUUUGAGUGACGUUGUUAUCUUUGUAACACACACAACACACACACACACACAGUACAAUCUUGUAUAAAUAAAGGAUGCAGACAGUCAUGAGGCGCAGAUCCUGCGUUUCAUGGCUGCCCUCGCGGGUUAAAGAAAAUCUGCAGUGUUUGUGUGUUUUCUAACUCAGGUGUCUCAGCUGAACAAAGAACGGCAGGGUGAUUUAAAGAAAUCCCCUGUCAGUCUGUAAAGCUGGAUGACAG